rnacentral:rRNA from 2 species
ACGCGUUGGCCCAAUUGAUUGAUGGUGCUUGCACCUGAUUGAUUUUGGUCGCCAACGAGUGGCGGACGGGUGAGUAACACGUAGGUAACCUGCCCAGAAGCGGGGGACAACAUUUGGAAACAGAUGCUAAUACCGCAUAACAGCGUUGUUCGCAUGAACAACGCUGAAAAGAUGGCUUCUCGCUAUCACUUCUGGAUGGACCUGCGGUGCAUUAGCUUGUUGGUGGGGUAACGGCCUACCAAGGCGAUGAUGCAUAGCCGAGUUGAGAGACUGAUCGGCCACAAUGGGACUGAGACACGGCCCAUACUCCUACGGGAGGCAGCAGUAGGGAAUCUUCCACAAUGGGCGCAAGCCUGAUGGAGCAACACCGCGUGAGUGAAGAAGGGUUUCGGCUCGUAAAGCUCUGUUGUUAAAGAAGAACACGUAUGAGAGUAACUGUUCAUACGUUGACGGUAUUUAACCAGAAAGUCACGGCUAACUACGUGCCAGCAGCCGCGGUAAUACGUAGGUGGCAAGCGUUAUCCGGAUUUAUUGGGCGUAAAGAGAGUGCAGGCGGUUUUCUAAGUCUGAUGUGAAAGCCUUCGGCUUAACCGGAGAAGUGCAUCGGAAACUGGAUAACUUGAGUGCAGAAGAGGGUAGUGGAACUCCAUGUGUAGCGGUGGAAUGCGUAGAUAUAUGGAAGAACACCAGUGGCGAAGGCGGCUACCUGGUCUGCAACUGACGCUGAGACUCGAAAGCAUGGGUAGCGAACAGGAUUAGAUACCCUGGUAGUCCAUGCCGUAAACGAUGAGUGCUAGGUGUUGGAGGGUUUCCGCCCUUCAGUGCCGGAGCUAACGCAUUAAGCACUCCGCCUGGGGAGUACGACCGCAAGGUUGAAACUCAAAGGAAUUGACGGGGGCCCGCACAAGCGGUGGAGCAUGUGGUUUAAUUCGAAGCUACGCGAAGAACCUUACCAGGUCUUGACAUCUUGCGCCAACCCUAGAGAUAGGGCGUUUCCUUCGGGAACGCAAUGACAGGUGGUGCAUGGUCGUCGUCAGCUCGUGUCGUGAGAUGUUGGGUUAAGUCCCGCAACGAGCGCAACCCUUGUUACUAGUUGCCAGCAUUAAGUUGGGCACUCUAGUGAGACUGCCGGUGACAAACCGGAGGAAGGUGGGGACGACGUCAGAUCAUCAUGCCCCUUAUGACCUGGGCUACACACGUGCUACAAUGGACGGUACAACGAGUCGCGAACUCGCGAGGGCAAGCAAAUCUCUUAAAACCGUUCUCAGUUCGGACUGCAGGCUGCAACUCGCCUGCACGAAGUCGGAAUCGCUAGUAAUCGCGGAUCAGCAUGCCGCGGUGAAUACGUUCCCGGGCCUUGUACACACCGCCCGUCACACCAUGAGAGUUUGUAACACCCAAAGUCGGUGGGGU